CAAUAGCGUAUACUAAAGUUGUUGCAGUUAAAAAGCUCGUAGUUGGAUUUCUGGUCGUAGCCGCCGGUCGUGCCCAAACGGGUUCUGUACCUGGUGUCCGCGUCCAUCCUCGGGGAGAGCACGUCUGGCAUUAAGUUGUCGGGUGUGGGACCCUCGUCAUUUACUGUGAGCAAAAUAGAGUGUUCAAAGCAGGCUUAGGCCAUGAAUACAUUAGCAUGGAAUAAUAAGAUAGGACCUUGGUCUAUUUUGUUGGUUUGCAUUCCAAGGUAAUGAUUAAUAGGGAUAGUUGGGGGUAUUCGUAUUCAAUUGUCAGAGGUGAAAUUCUUGGAUUUAUGGAAGACGAACUACUGCGAAAGCAUUUACCAAGGAUGUUUUCAUUAAUCAAGAACGAAAGUUAGGGGAUCGAAGACGAUUAGAUACCAU
rnacentral:rRNA from 1 species